UUAAAUGUAAAUUUCCAACUGCUUUCUGGCUGUACCAACACCUGAUCGCCGAAAUGGUCGCCGUCCGCCAGCAUAUCCACCAGAGGCUGAUCACCAUACUUACCAAUAGCCAGUUUGUUGACCUUGCCAUGAGCGAUCAAGAACAGCCGGUCUGCUGGUUGACCUGAUUGUACUAUAGUAUCACCAGGGGCGAACUCCUGUUGGACAAACCGACUCGCCAAAACGCUCAACACCUCAGUGUCGUUAAAUCCUCGCAGCAAAGGUAACUGACAAAGUUCUUGGGGAAUCACCUCUACUACAGCCCCGGUGUUGCUAAAAGUCAACCGCCCAUCAGCCACAGUAUAAGUCAACCGACGGUUUACCCGGUAAGUGCCACCUUGUGUUUCUACCCAGGGCAACAUCUUCAACAACCACCGUGGUGUAAUUUCCUGCAUCUGUGGUGCAGAUUUGGUUGUUUUUGCCAAAUUUCUGGCAGCACCUGUACCCAAACUCAGUUGAGGUUGUC
rnacentral:antisense_RNA from 1 species